rnacentral:lncRNA from 1 species
AUUUUUUAGCUGGUUGAUCGUAUUAAAAACCUGAGACCACCGAGCCUCUCGACAAAACGAAGCCGUAGCUUCUGCCACGCUUCAAACAGAGCUUGGACACGUCUAUAAGUGUUGUGAGAAACUUCACUUAAAUCACUUUUCUCCAUUUUCGGAUAGAAUUUUGACUCGAUCUCUUAGCUCGUUUAUUUUAUCAAAAAUAUGAAACCAUAACCAUGUUCCUCUCCACAAAACGAAUCCAUAGCCACCAACCACACCUCAAACAGAGCUCGGGCGUAGCUGUAAUCACCAUGAGAAGCUUCGUCAAAACCAUGAGAAACAUCGCCGGAAUUGCUGGAUUUGUUUAUAAUCUGGUUUACAAUUUUGGAGAUUAGCACAAAUCAAAACCUAUGGAUUUGUCUUUGGAGAAGAGGAAAAUGAAGAGGUGCUGGAGUAAAGAGAAGAAGAAAAUGUUGGUUAUAGAUGGAUGGAUGAUGCAAGUUGUGGAUGGACGACUCGUGGAUGGACAAUACGUAAACGAGUCGUGGAUAGAUAAUUUGUGGAUAGAUAUGCAGAGAAAAUGUAAACACAUCCAUAUGUAAACGACAAACAGAAAUUUA